AGCGAACGCUGGCGGCAGGCCUAACACAUGCAAGUCGAACGAACCCUUCGGGGUUAGUGGCGGACGGGUGAGUAACACGUGGGAACGUGCCUUUAGGUUCGGAAUAACUCAGGGAAACUUGUGCUAAUACCGAAUGUGCCCUUCGGGGGAGAGAUUUAUCACCUUUAGAGCGGCCCGCGUCUGAUUAGCGAGUUGGUGAGGUAAUGGCUCACCAAGGCUACGAUCAGUAGCUGGUCUGAGAGGAUGACCAGCCACAUUGGGACUGAGACACGGCCCAAACUCCUACGGGAGGCAGCAGUGGGGAAUCUUGCGCAAUGGGCGAAAGCCUGACGCAGCCAUGCCGCGUGGAUGAUGAAGGUCUUAGGAUUGUAAAAUCCUUUCACCGGUGAAGAUAAUGACUGUAGCCGGAGAAGAAGCCCCGGCUAACUUCGUGCCAGCCGCCGCCGUAAUAC
rnacentral:rRNA from 1 species